rnacentral:tRNA from 1 species
GGGAUUGUGGCUCAGAGGUAGAGCACUUGCCUAGCAUGCAUGAGGUACUGGAUUCGAUCCUCAGCACCA